GGGCGUAAGGGCUCGCAGGCGGUUUCUUAAGUCUGAUGUGAAAGCCCCCGGCUCAACCGGGGAGGGUCAUUGGAAACUGGGAAACUUGAGUGCAGAAGAGGAGAGUGGAAUUCCACGUGUAGCGGUGAAAUGCGUAGAGAUGUGGAGGAACACCAGUGGCGAAGGCGACUCUCUGGUCUGUAACUGACGCUGAGGAGCGAAAGCGUGGGGAGCGAACAGGAUUAGAUACCCUGGUAGUCCACGCCGUAAACGAUGAGUGCUAAGUGUUAGGGGGUUUCCGCCCCUUAGUGCUGCAGCUAACGCAUUAAGCACUCCGCCUGGGGAGUACGGUCGCAAGACUGAAACUCAAAGGAAUUGACGGGGGCCCGCACAAGCGGUGGAGCAUGUGGUUUAAUUCGAAGCAACGCGAAGAACCUUACCAGGUCUUGACAUCCUCUGACAACCCUAGAGAUAGGGCUUUCCCUUCGGGGACAGAGUGACAGGUGGUGCAUGGUUGUCGUCAGCUCGUGUCGUGAGAUGUUGGGUUAAGUCCCGCAACGAGCGCAACCCUUGAUCUUAGUUGCCAGCAUUUAGUUGGGCACUCUAAGGUGACUGCCGGUGACAAACCGGAGGAAGGUGGGGAUGACGUCAAAUCAUCAUGCCCCUUAUGACCUGGGCUACACACGUGCUACAAUGGACAGAACAAAGGGCUGCGAGACCGCAAGGUUUAGCCAAUCCCAUAAAUCUGUUCUCAGUUCGGAUCGCAGUCUGCAACUCGACUGCGUGAAGCUGGAAU
rnacentral:rRNA from 1 species